GUGCUCACUUUGGCAGCAUAUAUACUAAAAUUGGAAUGAUAUAGAGAAGAUUAGCAUGGCCCUUGCACAAAUUCGUGAAGAGUUCCAUAUUUUU
rnacentral:snRNA from 1 species